rnacentral:rRNA from 1 species
UACGUAGGGUGCAAGCGUUUGUCCGGAAUUAUUGGGCGAAAGAGCUCGUAGGCGGUUUGUCGCGUCUGCUGUGAAAAACCCGAGGCUCAACCUCGGGCCGCAGUGGGUACGGGCAGACUAGAGUGCGGUAGGGGAGAUUGGAAUUCCUGGUGUAGCGGUGAAAUGCGCAGAUAUCAGGAGGAACACCCGUGGCGAAAGCGGCUCUCUGGGACGGUACUGACGGCUGAGACGCGAAAAGCGUGGGGGAGCAAACAGG